rnacentral:rRNA from 1 species
AGCAGUCGCCGCGGUAAUACGUAGGUCCCGAGCGUUGUCCGGAUUUAUUGGGCGUAAAGCGAGCGCAGGCGGUUAGAUAAGUCUGAAGUUAAAGGCUGUGGCUCAACCAUAGUAUGCUUUGGAAACUGUUUAACUUGAGUGCAGAAGGGGAGAGUGGAAUUCCAUGUGUAGCGGUGAAAUGCGUAGAUUUAUGGAGGAACACCGGUGGCGAAAGCGGCUCUCUGGUCUGUAACUGACGCUGAGGCUCGAAAGCGUGGGGAGCAAACAGGAUUAGAUACCCCAGUAGUCCCUGUCUCUUAUACA